rnacentral:lncRNA from 1 species
AUGGGGGCGAGAGGGGAGAAAAGCGGACGGAGCAACCGCGCCCUCUCUCAUCUGCGCCCACUCAGGGCACGCAGGACAGACGGGCCCGCGUGGCUGGCUCCACACACCAGCCCGGGUCUGGUCUGGGCCACGAGCGCACGACUGGGAACUGGCCCAUCCAGGACACUGGGUCAGAUUCUCCUGGUGGCCCGCCGCACUACAAGGCAGACAACUCCCCAGCUGCCUGGGGGCACGGCACGGGUCCAGAACACGCUCGUGCCAGCGUCAGAGGGCACAUCGAGGACUGGUCCUCAGGCAGCGGCCACGCCUCCUGGACGCUGUCCCGGGAGCUCGGAGACCAGCCAACGCCAAGAGGAAGGCAAGGACGUCUCAGGAGAGGCAGAGGCACAGAGCACCACCCUCGCGGAGCCCAGCGUGCCCGCGCCUAAGUCCGCUGCGCACACUGGGCCACCAGGGGCAGUGGGGCACUCCACGCCGGGUCCCAUGAGGCUUCUGCACUCGCAGCCUCCGUGGCCACGCCAGGCAUGCGGGCUGGGAGUGCUGCACCAGACCCCCGGGGUGGGUCAUGGCGGGAGCAGACGUGGGGGGCGGGGAAGCCUACGCCCCUCCCGCACGGGUCAGCAGACCACCACGCAGAGAAACGGACAACCUGCGGACAGGCCCAGGCAGCGUGCAGCCAACCAGAGCACCCGGGAGGACACACGGCCCCGUCUCGGAGCGCCUGACUCGCACCGCGGCCCCUCUCUCCCCAGGGAGCACAUCCUUCCCGGGCAGAGCCCCGAGGACGUCCCCGCAGCUCCAGAGCACAGGCCAGCGUUUCGGGACAAGGAAUCGCAUGGCGACACCUUCCCGGUCCCGGAGGCAAUAGGAAAGCCCGUUCUCGCUCAAGGAGCCCCGGCAGCCCAGCGGGCUCCCAGGGGCAGAGGACACAAGGCACACGGGCCCCUACCGUGGUCGUGGUCGUGGUCGUGGUCGUGGUCGUGGUCGUGGUCGUGCUCGGGGUCGUGGUCGUGGUCAGCCUCCUCGGUGCUGCACGUCCGGAACAAGUUCCCGGGUGCCGGGCUCGGCGUCUGCGGAAGAAGAAGAGUGAGGGUCUCUGCCGACAACACACCUGCCUCCGCCUAG